AAGUCGUAACAAGGUUUCCGUAGGUGAACCUGCGGAAGGAUCAUUAUUGAAUAAACUUGGUUGGGUUGUUGCUGGCCCCUCGGGGCAUGUGCACGCCUGGCACCAUUUUUACCACCUGUGCACCCUUUGUAGACCUGGGAUAACCGUCCGGGGAAACUCGGUUUGAGGAUCUGCCGUCAAGGCUCUCCUUGCAUUCCUGGUCUACGUAUUUACAUAUACCCCACAAGCAUGUAAUAGAAUGUCAUUGAUUGGCCUCAGUGCCUUUAAAUUGAAUACAACUUUCAACAACGGAUCUCUUGGCUCUC
rnacentral:misc_RNA from 1 species